rnacentral:rRNA from 1 species
UACGGAGGGUGCAAGCGUUAUCCGGAUUCACUGGGUUUAAAGGGUGCGUAGGUGGGAAUGUAAGUCAGUGGUGAAAUCUCCGUGCUUAACAUGGAAACUGCAUUUGUGACUGCACGGCUAGAGUGUGUCAGAGGGGGGUAGAAUUCCACGUGUAGCAGUGAAAUUCGUAGAUAUUCGGAGGAACACCAGUGGCGAAGGCGGCUCACUGGUCCAUUACUGACGCUGAGGUGCGAAAGCGUGGGGAGCAAACAGG